UGGUUUAACAAAAUAUAGUAGAAUGGAGACGACGGGUUUAUUCAAAUCCUCCAUGAGAUUUUUCUCCGAUCAAGAGCUCUGCUACGCCGAUAUCCUCACUCCUCAAGAGGUCCUUGCGAGAAUUCAAGUUGCGGUCCUCAAUUUCCUCAGAAUUCUCAGUUCCUCUACUCCUGCCAUCUCAAAUCUUCCUCUGAUUGAUCGAAGUUCGAGCAACAGCC